AUGGGAAAUCAGUCAACCGAAAGCCUGGCAGAGGUCUCCACAGUGAUCACGGUGCUGGCAGAGCUGCUAUACACUUUGAUGGAGCCUGCAGAGCAGGGCUUCCUGGACAGAAAGAGCAGGUCCACCUCUUCUGUUCUAAACUCCUCACUAGAGCUGAACUCUCAGAUAGAUUCCAUAGAUGAGCUUCUCCUGGACCAUCUGGAUCCCCCUGAAGCCCCUGAGGAAGAGGAUUGUGUGCCAGCUCCAGGCCCCGAUGAAGUCCCACCUGCAGAGCUUGUGCCUGCUCUACCUGCAGCUCCCUCACCAGCUCUGGCCUCACAGCAAGAGCCAGGACCUAUAACCUCUUCCCCAUCAGCUGCAGAGCCGGAACUCCUGGCAUCUCCACAACAGGUGUCAUCUCUUGAGCUCUACCUGGGGCUGGCUCUUGACCCACACCUGCCAUUCCUG
ensembl:lncRNA